UGCUUUUCUUAAAUUGAAGAAUAUAAAAAAAAAACAAAACAAAACACAAAACUACACACGCACAAAAGCAAGCGUUACAGAUCAGGAGAAUAAUAAGUGAAGGUGACUAGCAGCUCUUCCAUGGCCUGAAUGAAAGGCUUUCAGCAGUCCAAUAUGGUUUAAGAUUGAAAAUUAAAGGAUAUAAAAAACAAACUCCCAAAACUCUUGUUACUAUGCAAAAGGAAUCACUGAGCAGAAUCCAAC
rnacentral:lncRNA from 1 species